GAUGAACGCUGACAGUAUGCUUAACACAUGCAAGUCGAUGGGGAAGUGGUGCUUGCACCAUGGUAACCAUGGCGGACGGGUGGGUAACGCGUAAGGAACUUACCUGCGGGACCGGGAUAACAGCAGGAAACUGCUGACAAGACCGGAUAAGGUCAUUAAGCUGCAUAGCUUAGUGAUGAAAGGAGACGCCUGCGGAGAGCCUUGCGUCCUAUUAGCUAGUUGGAGGGGUAACGGCCCACCAAGGCGAAGAUAGGUAGCCGGCCUGAGAGGGUGGACGGCCACAAGGGGACUGAGAUACGGCCCUUACUCCUACGGGAGGCAGCAGUGGGGAAUAUUGGACAAUGGGGGCAACCCUGAUCCAGCAAUUCUGUGUGCACGAAGACGGUUUUCGGAUUGUAAAGUGCUUUCAGCAGGGAAGAAGGAAGUGACGGUACCUGCAGAAGAAGCGACGGCUAAAUACGUG
rnacentral:rRNA from 1 species